CGGCGGACGGGUGAGUAACGCGUGGGUAACCUGCCUCAUACAGGGGGAUAACAGUUGGAAACGGCUGCUAAUACCGCAUAAGCGCACAGUACCGCAUGGUACGGUGUGAAAAACUCCGGUGGUAUGAGAUGGACCCGCGUCUGAUUAGCUAGUUGGAGGGGUAACGGCCCACCAAGGCGACGAUGCGUAGCCGACCUGAGAGGGUGACCGGCCACACUGGGACUGAGACACGGCCCAG
rnacentral:rRNA from 1 species